UACGGGGGGGGCAAGCGUUGUUCGGAAUUACUGGGCGUAAAGGGCUCGUAGGUGGCCAACUAAGUCAGACGUGAAAUCCCUCGGCUUAACCGGGGAACUGCGUCUGAUACUGGAUGGCUUGAGUUCGGGAGAGGGAUGCGGAAUUCCAGGUGUAGCGGUGAAAUGCGUAGAGAUGCGGAGGAACACCGAUGGCGAAGGCAGCCCCCUGGGUCGACACUGACGCUCAGGCACGAAAGCGUGGGGAGCAAACAGG
rnacentral:rRNA from 1 species